rnacentral:rRNA from 1 species
UACGUGAGGGGCGAACGUUGUUCGGUGUCACUGGGCUUAAAGGGUGCGUAGGUGGUUGCGUAAGUAAGGUGUGAAAUCCCUCGGCUUACCCGGGGAAUUGCAUUUUAUACUGCGUGGCUUGAGGACUAAAGGGGAAAAGGGAACUCCAGGUGUAGCGGUGAAAUGCGCAGAUAUCUGGGGGAAGGCCGGCGGCGAAGGCGCUUUUCUGGUUAGUACCUGGCACUGAGGCACGAAAGCGUGGGGAGCAAACAGG